rnacentral:lncRNA from 1 species
AGUAUCUUUGGCUUUUUGAUAAUAACCCACAACCUGAGGAUGAACAAAUGAUGAUUGUGGUUUUGCUUGCAUUUCCCUGAUCCUGGAGUGGCUGCUCCCUGAAGAGAGUCCUGGUCCUAGGAAUCUGGGAUUCUACCUGAAGUCACAAAGAUGAACAGAACAAACGGUAGAGCCCUGGAGAGAGGCAUCUGAGUGAGCCUGCUUUCUAACCAACUUCUCAGAACUGCCUGCCGCUGGGCUGCCGAACAGAAGUUCAAGUUCUGGGAUUCCACCCUUGAAGAGAAAUGAAUCUGCACUUAGUGAGCCCUCACCCUGUAGGUCAGGACAUGUAGUUCUUGCUAUCCUGAAACUCACUAUGUACAACAGACUGGUCUCGAACACACUGAGAUCUGCCUGGUUCUGUCUCCCCGGUGGUGAGAUCAAAGCACGAGUAGAAUUAGGAUACAGGACUUUUAUUUAUAUGUUAUGACUUCCGGUUUUGUUUUCAUGGGAUUCCUGAUUGUGCAGGCAAUUGGGUCUCUGUGUCUACAUCUGUUUCUUUUGCCUUUUCUUUGACUCCCUUUCUUUCAUUUGUUUCUUUUGCCCUAUUCCGAUGCAUUAGUUUUUGUUUUAUCUUAUUAUAUUUUAUUAUUAUUCAUCAAGUGCCCUUCUGUUUUCUAAAGAGAAACAAAAAGGUGGUAAAUUUGCAUGGAAUGGGAGGCAUAGAGGAACUGGGAGGAGUAAAGUGAGAAGAGUUCAAAAUCAGGAUAUAGUGUAUGAAAAAAUAGACU